GAUGAACGCUGGCGGCGUGCCUAACACAUGCAAGUCGAGCGAAUCGGGCACGGGUGAGUAACACGCGGAUAACCCCCCACAACACUGGGAUAACUCCGGGAAACCGGAGCUAUACCGGACAUCUAUACAUUCACCCGCGCUGCAUUAUCCAGUUGGUAAGGUAAUGGCCUACCAAGGAAACGACGCAUAGCCGUCCUGAGAGGGUGAUCGGCCAAACUGGAACUGAGACACGGUCCAGACUCCUACGGGAGGAAGCAGUAGGGAAUCUUCCGCAAUGGGCGAAAGCCUGACGGAGCAACGCCGCGUGAGUGAUGAAGGUCUUCGGAUCGUAAAACGCUGUUAUUAGGGAAGCGGUACCUAAUCAGAAAGCCACGGCUAACUACGUGCCAGCAGCCGCGGUAAUUC
rnacentral:rRNA from 1 species